rnacentral:rRNA from 1 species
AGAGUUUGAUCCUGGCUCAGGACGAACGCUGGCGGCGUGCCUAACACAUGCAAGUCGAACGGAACUUUUUUAAAGGAUUUCUUCGGAAUGAUUUUGAUUAAGUUUAGUGGCGGACGGGUGAGUAACGCGUGAGUAACCUGCCUCUAAGAGGGGAAUAACAUUCUGAAAAGAAUGCUAAUACCGCAUAAUAUAUAUUUAUCGCAUGGUAGAUAUAUCAAAGAUUUAUCGCUUAGAGAUGGACUCGCGUCCGAUUAGUUAGUUGGUGAGGUAACGGCUCACCAAGACCGCGAUCGGUAGCCGGACUGAGAGGUUGAACGGCCACAUUGGGACUGAGACACGGCCCAGACUCCUACGGGAGGCAGCAGUGGGGGAUAUUGCGCAAUGGGGGAAACCCUGACGCAGCAACGCCGCGUGAAGGAUGAAGGUCUUCGGAUUGUAAACUUCUUUUAUUAAGGACGAAGAAAGUGACGGUACUUAAUGAAUAAGCUCCGGCUAACUACGUGCCAGCAGCCGCGGUAAUACGUAGGGAGCAAGCGUUGUCCGGAUUUACUGGGUGUAAAGGGUGCGUAGGCGGCUUUGCAAGUCAGAUGUGAAAUCUAUGGGCUCAACCCAUAGCCUGCAUUUGAAACUGCAGAGCUUGAGUGAAGUAGAGGCAGGCGGAAUUCCCCGUGUAGCGGUGAAAUGCGUAGAGAUGGGGAGGAACACCAGUGGCGAAGGCGGCCUGCUGGGCUUUAACUGACGCUGAGGCACGAAAGCGUGGGUAGCAAACAGGAUUAGAUACCCUGGUAGUCCACGCUGUAAACG